AUGGCCUGCUUCCCUUGCAACCCUCUCCCCCACCUUCCCCCUGGCACUGCAAUCAUCCCGCCUGGCCCCCUUCGUGCUCGCCGUGGAUAUGUGGUUAUUGGAGGUGAGCUUCCGAUGGUCUGUGACGAGUGGGCUAUCGCCACGCUCGUCCCUGAAGUAUCUGCUGAGGAGUUUCAUGGUGCCAUUGCUCUGAUCACCAACUACUUGGAGGGGCGUGGAUGGCGCAUCAACUACACCUCUCGUUGUGGUAUGGGCACUGCGCUAAUUCAGUUUACUACUGCCUGUUCGCAUGAUACUGCUGUUAGUCUUAGUCCGUUUCAGAUUGGGGAUUUUGUUCUUAGAGUCAGCAGACAUGACAGAGGUUUAAACUGCCGCAGUAUUACUUUCACUCAUGAUGUUUGGAUCUUGCUCAUGCACUACCCUCUUGAAUGCUGGAAUGUGGGGGUCAUUAGUCGUACUAUUUCUCCUUAUGGCCGCUUUCUGAUCCGGAACAAAGAUCCUAGGGACAAGUCGAGGGUUGUUGUUAAGCUCAGGGUUAUGAAUGUGGACACUAUACCUAUUAGCCUAGUUGUACUGAGAAACCUUGAUGAUGUGGGCUAUGGUGAUUCUUGGACCUGUCCAACAUAUAUUCUGUCUCGGGAGCUGAUUGGUACAUGGGGGGAUGAGGAUCCACUACCUCCUGAUGGUGGUAACCCUCACCCACUUCCA
rnacentral:rRNA from 1 species